UACGUAGGUGGCAAGCGUUGUCCGGAUUUACUGGGCGUAAAGAGCGCGCAGGCGGUCGUUCAAGUCGCGUGUGAAAGCCCCCGGCUCAACCGAGGACGUGCAUCCGAAACUGGAGUGCUCGAGUAUGGAAGAGGGUCGCGGAAUUCUCGGUGUAGAGGUGAAAUUCGUAGAUAUCGGGAGGAACACCAGCGGCGAAGGCGGCGACCUGGGCCAAUACUGACGCUGAGGUGCGAAAGCGUGGGGAGCAAACAGG
rnacentral:rRNA from 1 species